rnacentral:rRNA from 1 species
UGGGGGAUAUUGCACAAUGGGCGAAAGCCUGAUGCAGCGACGCCGCGUGGGGGAUGAAGGCCUUCGGGUUGUAAACUUCUUUUGCUCUGAACAAGGCAUGCCUUUGGGGUGUGUUGAGUGUAGGGGUUGAUUAGCGCCGGCUAACUACUUGCCAGCAGCCGCGGUAAUACGUAGGGCGCGAGCGUUGUCCGGAAUUAUUGGGCGUAAAGGGCUUGUAGGUGGCUGGUUGCGUCUGUCGUGAAAGCUCAUGGCUUAACUGUGGGUUUGCGGUGGGUACGGGCUGGCUUGAGUGCAGUAGGGGAGGCUGGAAUUCCUGGUGUAGCGGUGGAAUGCGCAGAUAUCAGGAGGAAUACCGGUGGCGAAGGCGGGUCUCUGGGCUGUUACUGACGCUGAGGAGCGAAAGCGUGGGGAGCGAACAGG